UUACCAUCAAGAAUUUCCCAAACAAGCUUCUCUUUGGCAAAGUANUUUGCCAAAGAGAAGUUUUUUGGGAAAUUCUUGAUGGUGA
rnacentral:pre_miRNA from 1 species